GAAGCUGAUUCUAGUGCAACACGUGCAGCAAUCCAAGCAGAACCAGCCAGGACAGUCUGCACAUGUAUUAACCACCCAGUGUCCCCCAGAGUAGAAACUGAAGCUGACAUACUGCUGAGAUUGCCUCCGCCCCAACUCCAUCCACCAUGCCUCAGAUAAGAUGACAUUCCGUCUGAUGAAGUAGUUCCAUAAGUAUCUACAUAGUCUCUAAGCCGACCAAGACUCUCCCUCAUUGCAUGUAUAUUAUCAAUGCCAAAGAAAACAAUCUCCGACUGGAAAUAGUUUGCAGAUGACUCCGAUCCACCUCCCAUUGCCCCAUUUGCUAAAGCAUUUUUCCUCGGCCUUGCAUCAGCAAUAUAUAGCUUCCUUCGUUUCUGUCCAGCAAUUUGAGUACAGAGUGCAGCAACUAGAUUUUCAUCAGCAU
rnacentral:misc_RNA from 1 species